rnacentral:rRNA from 1 species
CUUGGUCAUUUAGAGGAAGUAAAAGUCGUAACAAGGUUUCCGUAGGUGAACCUGCGGAAGGAUCAUUACUGAACGAAAUGGGUGGCAAGGCUGUCGCUGGCUCGAAUGAGCAUGUGCACGUCUUUUGCUGCUUGCUUCAUUCUCUUCUCCACCUGUGCACUCUUUGUAGACACUUGGGAUGUGAGAGAGGUUAGCAUUGAUUGUUGACCUCUCUUGAUAUUGAAAAGUCUGGGUGUUUAUGUAUUUUUUGACACACACGUUUGAAUGUCUAUAGAAUGAAAAUGUAGGCUUUUGUCAGCCUUUAAAUGAUAAAAUACAACUUUCAACAACGGAUCUCUUGGCUCUCGCAUCGAUGAAGAACGCAGCGAAAUGCGAUAAGUAAUGUGAAUUGCAGAAUUCAGUGAAUCAUCGAAUCUUUGAACGCACCUUGCGCUCCUUGGUAUUCCGAGGAGCAUGCCUGUUUGAGUGUCAUUAAUAACAUAUGUCAGCCACUCUUGUCUGGGAGUGGUCUGGAAGUGGGGGUUUGCUGGCCUUGGUUGAGGUUCAGCUCUCCUGAAAUGCAUUAGUGGAACGACCUGUUCAUUCAUUGGUGUGAUAAACAUNUACGCUAUUGAAUGUAGGGAUGGUUCGGCUUUCUAACGGUCCUCGGACAAUUCAUCAUUUUAUGUGACCUCAAAUCAGGUAGGACUACCCGCUGAACUUAAGCAUAUCAAUAAGCGGAGGAAAAGAAACUAACAAGGAUUCCCCUAGUAACUGCGAGUGAAGCGGGAAAAGCUCAAAUUUAAAAUCUGGCAGUCUUUGGCUGUCCGAGUUGUAAUCUAGAGAAGUGCUAUCCGCGCUGGACCGUGUACAAGUCUCCUGGAAUGGAGCAUCAUGGGGGGUGAGAAUCCCGUCUUUGACAUGGACUGCCAGGGCUUUUGUGAUGCGCUCUCGAAGAGUCGAGUUGUUUGGGAAUGCAGCUCAAAAUGGGUGGUAAAUUCCAUCUAAAGCUAAAUAUUGGCGAGAGACCGAUAGCGAACAAGUACCGUGAGGGAAAGAUGAAAAGAACUUUGGAAAGAGAGUUAAACAGUACGUGAAAUUGCUGAAAGGGAAACGCUUGAAGU